GUGUGAACAGUGGUUGAUCACGAGUUAGUCGGUCCUAAGUUCAAGGCGAAAGCCGAAAAUUUUCAAGUAAAGAAAAAUCAGAAUCAAUGUGCCUAUAUACCGAUUUUUAUACACUUGAAUAAUUUUGAACGAAAGGGAAUACGGUUCCAAUUCCGUAACCUGUUGAGUAUCCGUUUGUUAUUAAAUAUGGGCCUCGUGCUCAUCCUGGCAACAGGAACGACCAUAAAGAAGCCGUCGAGAGAUAUCGGAAGAGUUUUCUUUUCUGUUUUAUAGCCGUACUACCAUGGAAGUCUUUCGCAGAGAGAUAUGGUAGAUGGGCUAGAAGAGCAUGACAUAUACUGUUGUGUCGAUAUUUUCUCCUCGGACCUUGAAAAUUUAUGGUGGGGAUACGCAAACUUCUCAACAGGCCGUACCAAUAUCCGCAGCUGGUCUCCAAGGUGAAGAGUCUCUAGUCGAUAGAAUAAUGUAGGUAAGGGAAGUCGGCAAAUUAGAUCCGUAACUUCGGGAUAAGGAUUGGCUCUGAAGAUUGAGAUAGUCGGGCUUGAUUGGGAAACAAUAACAUGGUUUAUGUGCUCGUUCUGGGUAAAUAGAGUUUCUAUCAUUUUUAUGGUAGUUUCUUGUUCCCCGGAUAGUUUAGUUACGUAGCCAAUUGUGGAACUUUCUUGCUAAAAUUUUUAAGAAUACUAGUCGGGCAACCGAUUAGUUCUUUUAAAUUAUAACGAUUAUCAAUUAACAAUCAAUUCAGAACUGGCACGGACUUGGGGAAUCCGACUGUCUAAUUAAAACAAAGCAUUGUGAUGGCCCUAGCGGGUGUUGACACAAUGUGAUUUCUGCCCAGUGCUCUGAAUGUCAAAGUGAAGAAAUUCAAGUAAGCGCGGGUCAACGGCGGGAGUAACUAUGACUCUCUUAAGGUAGCCAAAUGCCUCGUCAUCUAAUUAGUGACGCGCAUGAAUGGAUUAACGAGAUUCCUACUGUCCCUAUCUACUAUCUAGCGAAACCACAGCCAAGGGAACGGGCUUGGAAUAAUUAGCGGGGAAAGAAGACCCUUUUGAGCUUGACUCUAAUCUGGCAGUGUAAGGAGACAUAAGAGGUGUAGAAUAAGUGGGAGAUAUUAAGCUUCGGUUUAGUAUCAACAAUGAAAUACCACUACUCUUAUUGUUUCCUUACUUACUUGAUUAAGUGGAACGUGUAUCAUUUCCUAGCCAUUAUACGGAUAUAUUUAUUAUGUCUUAUGGUAUUGGGUUUUGAUGCAAGCUUCUUGAUCAAAGUAUCACGAGUUUGUUAUAUAAUCGCAAACAAAUUCUUUAAAGAGAAAAUGCAGUUAUGUAUUUUUGAUUUAAUAAUUUGGUAUAACUCCAAUUACUCAGGUAUGAUCCAAUUCAAGGACAUUGCCAGGUAGGGAGUUUGACUGGGGCGGUACAUCUCUCAAAUAAUAACGGAGGUGUCCCAAGGCCAGCUCAGUGCGGACAGAAACCACACAUAGAGCAAAAGGGCAAAUGCUGACUUGAUCUCGGUGUUCAGUACACACAGGGACAGCAAAAGCUCGGCCUAUCGAUCCUUUGGUUUAAAGAGUUUUUAACAAGAGGUGUCAGAAAAGUUACCAUAGGGAUAACUGGCUUGUGGCGGCCAAGCGUUCAUAGCGACGUCGCUUUUUGAUCCUUCGAUGUCGGCUCUUCCUAUCAUUGUGAAGCAAAAUUCACCAAGCGUUGGAUUGUUCACCCAUGCAAGGGAACGUGAGCUGGGUUUAGACCGUCGUGAGACAGGUUAGUUUUACCCUACUAAUGACAAAACGUUGUUGCGACAGCAUUCCUGCGUAGUACGAGAGGAACCGCAGGUACGGACCAAUGGCACAAUACUUGUUCGAGCGAACAGUGGUAUGACGCUACGUCCGUUGGAUUAUGCCUGAACGCCUCUAAGGUCGUAUCCGUGCUGGACUGCAAUGAUAAAUAAGGGGCAAUUUGCAUUGU
rnacentral:rRNA from 1 species